rfam:Octopus bimaculoides Scaffold77762_contig_46, whole genome shotgun sequence.
AUGUAUAUCGGCAAUAUAUAUAUACUAAACUUGGAACGAUGCAAAGAAGAUUAAUAUGGCCCCUGCACAAGAUUAACACGCAAAUUCGUGAAGCGUUCCACAUUUUC